GAUGAACGCUGGCGGCGUGCCUAAUACAUGCAAGUCGAGCGAAUGGAUUAAGAGCUUGCUCUUAUGAAGUUAGCGGCGGACGGGUGAGUAAUACGUGGGUAACCUGCCCAUAAGACUAGGAUAACUCCGGGAAACCGGGGCUAAUACCGGAUAACAUUUUGAACCGCAUGGUUCGAAAUUGAAAGGCGGCUUCGGCUGUCACUUAUGGAUGGACCCGCGUCGCAUUAGCUAGUUGGUGAGGUAACGACUCACCAAGGCAACGAUGCGUAGCCGACCUGAGAGGGUGAUCGGCCACACUGGGACUGAGACACGGCCCAGACUCCUACGGGAGGCAGCAGUAGGGAAUCUUCCGCAAUGGACGAAAGUCUGACGGAGCAACGCCGCGUGAGUGAUGAAGGCUUUCGGGUCGUAAAACUCUGUUGUUAGGGAAGAACAAGUGCUAGUUGAAUAAGCUGGCACCUUGACGGUACCUAACCAGAAAGCCACGGCUAACUACGUGCCAGCAGCCGCCGUAA
rnacentral:rRNA from 1 species